UGGGGAAUCUUGGACAAUGGGCGCAAGCCUGAUCCAGCCAUGCCGCGUGGAUGAUGAAGGCCUUAGGGUUGUAAAAUCCUUUUCGCCGAGGACGAUAAUGACGGUACUCGGAGAAGAAGCUCCGGCUAACUUCGUGCCAGCAGCCGCGGUAAUACGAAGGGGGCUAGCGUUGUUCGGAUUUACUGGGCGUAAAGCGCGUGUAGGCGGGUCGUUAAGUUGGGGGUGAAAUCCCGAGGCUCAACCUCGGAACUGCCUUCAAAACUGGCGACCUGGACCUAAGUAGAGGCAAGUGGAAUUGCGAGUGUAGAGGUGAAAUUCGUAGAUAUUCGCAGGAACACCAGUGGCGAAGGCAAUCCCCUGGACCUGUACUGACGCUGAGACGCGAAAGCGUGGGGAGCAAACAGGAUUAGAUACCCUUGUAGUCCCUGAGCGGGCUGGCAAGGCGCAU
rnacentral:rRNA from 1 species